rnacentral:rRNA from 1 species
AUUCCAGCUCCAAUAGCGUAUAUUAAAGUUGUUGCAGUUAAAAAGCUCGUAGUUGGAUUUGUGGUGGUUCCUGUGGUCCAAAAUGUUUUGUUACCAUUGGGCACUGCCAUCUUUGGGUGGAACCUGCGGGGCAUUAGGUUGUUUUGUGGGGGAUGCUCAUCGUUUACUGUGAAAAAAUUAGAGUGUUCAAAGCAGGCUUAUGCCAUUGAAUAGAUUAGCAUGGAAUAAUGAGAUAGGACUUGGGUACUAUUUUGUUGGUUUGUGCACCAAAGUAAUGAUUAAUAGGGACAGUUGGGGGUAUUCGUAUUCCAUUGUCAGAGGUGAAAUUCUUGGAUUUUUGGAAGACGAACUACUGCGAAAGCAUUUACCAAGGAUGUU